GUGGGGAAUAUUGGACAAUGGGCGAAAGCCUGAUCCAGCCAUGCCGCGUGUGUGAAGAAGGUCUUCGGAUUGUAAAGCACUUUAAGUUGGGAGGAAGGGCAGUAAGUUAAUACCUUGCUGUUUUGACGUUACCGACAGAAUAAGCACCGGCUAACUUCGUGCCAGCAGCCGCGGUAAUACGAAGGGUGCAAGCGUUAAUCGGAAUUACUGGGCGUAACGCGCGCGUAGGUGGUUUUGUAAGUUGGAGGUGAAAUCCCCGGGCUCAACCUGGGCACUGGCUCCAAAACUGCAUGACUAGAGUACGGUAGAGGGUAGUGGAAUUUCCUGUGUAGCGGUGAAAUGCGUAGAUAUAGGAAGGAACACCAGUGGCGAAGGCGACUACCUGGACUGAUACUGACACUGAGGUGCGAAAGCGUGGGGAGCAAACAGGAUUAGAAACCCGGGUAGUCC
rnacentral:rRNA from 1 species